rnacentral:rRNA from 1 species
AGUGAACGCCGGUGGUAGGCCUAACACAUGCAAGUCGAACGGCAGCACAGUAAGAGCUUGCUCUUACGGGUGGCGAGUGGCGGACGGGUGAGGAAUACAUCGGAAUCUACUUUUUCGUGGGGGAUAACGUAGGGAAACUUACGCUAAUACCGCAUACGACCUACGGGUGAAAGCAGGGGAUCUUCGGACCUUGCGCGAUUGAAUGAGCCGAUGUCGGAUUAGCUAGUUGGCGGGGUAAAGGCCCACCAAGGCGACGAUCCGUAGCUGGUCUGAGAGGAUGAUCAGCCACACUGGAACUGAGACACGGUCCAGACUCCUACGGGAGGCAGCAGUGGGGAAUAUUGGACAAUGGGCGCAAGCCUGAUCCAGCCAUACCGCGUGGGUGAAGAAGGCCUUCGGGUUGUAAAGCCCUUUUGUUGGGAAAGAAAAGCAGCAGGUUAAUACCCCGCUGUUCUGACGGUACCCAAAGAAUAAGCACCGGCUAACUUCGUG